rnacentral:rRNA from 1 species
UACAGAGGGUGCGAGCGUAAUCGGAAUUACUGGGCGUAAAGCGCCCGUAGGCGGCUUUGUAAGUUAGAGGUGAAAGCCCGGAGCUCAACUCCGGAACUGCCUUUAAGACUGCAUCGCUUGAAUCCAGGAGAGGUGAGUGGAAUUCCGAGUGUAGAGGUGAAAUUCGUAGAUAUUCGGAAGAACACCAGUGGCGAAGGCGGCUCACUGGACUGGUAUUGACGCUGAGGUGCGAAAGCGUGGGGAGCAAACAGG